ACGGGAGGCAGCAGUGAGGAAUAUUGGUCAAUGGGCGGAAGCCUGAACCAGCCAUGUCGCGUGCAGGACUACGGCCCUACGGGUCUUAAACUGCUUUUGAUUGGGGAUAAAGUGGGGGACGCGUCCCCUAUUGCAGGUACCAAUCGAAUAAGGAUCGGCUAACUCCGUGCCAGCAGCCGCGGUAAUACGGAGGAUCCGAGCGUUAUCCGGAUUUAUUGGGUUUAAAGGGUGCGUAGGCGGGCUGUUAAGUCAGCGGUGAAACCCCCGGGCUCAACCCGGGGACUGCCAUUGAAACUGGCGGCCUAGAGUACGUUGGGAGUGCGCGGAAUGUGUGGUGUAGCGGUGAAAUGCAUAGAUAUCACACAGAACACCGAUUGCGAAGGCAGGAUACCAUACCAUAUCUGACGCUCAGGCACGAAAGCGUGGGGAUCGAACAGGAUUAGAUACCCUGGUA
rnacentral:rRNA from 1 species